UACCUGGAAAGCUGAACUGAUGUGCUGCUAACAAACCCUAGAGGACCCAGCAUGAAGACAGCAUUUCCAUUACCAGCAUUGACUAUAAGCAGGAAAACAGCCUAUGGGCAAGGACCCUACAAAGCCAGGAAGGAACAGCCAGGAAAAAUAAAGCUACCUUCUCAUGAUGACUUCCCCUCCAGCUAAGGAGACUUCUGCCAUUUAUUCUGCAGCAGAACAGUUUGUAUCUUCAUCUUCAUGUCACUGCAUAAGUCAGGCAUACUGCUGAUUGGUGAUGAGCAAACGGUUGCUAGAACUUCACUGAGGAUAAGAGAUCCUGCCCCAGUGCAAGAAGAUGCUCUGAGCCACUUCUCUAGGUCCUUUCCUCUGAUAGCUGCGUCUAUGGGACACGCAUCACAGGCUGCAGGGAGGCUGCCUUGGCGCCACCAGCAAGCAGUUCCUGCCUGAAGUUGCGUAUUUUCGCCACGAGAGGUUGUAAGAGGGAAAGAGAAAAAUGCUUUAAAGCGAUCGAGCUGCUGCAGCGCUCCGAAGUGCAAGGAUUUCCUCUGGACCCCCUGGGUCUAUUUGGUCCAAGCACUCACAACAUCCCUGUAUAUAUACCCUGUAUUUUAGACGGGCUCUCGGCCUUUUGUUUUGGAAAUCAGACCUUGAAGCUAAGUGAUCCCGGAACGGCAUAACCAGAAAUAGCUCUGGUGUAGCAAUAAGUUGAACUUUGACCAAAUGAAGGAUUUACAGUUUUCCUCCUGUUUUCCACACUUCUGGCAGCACAGGGACUGCUU
rnacentral:lncRNA from 1 species